GGGGAGAGAAGAGGAGAAAUAAACAAAGGGAUAUAACUCUUUCAUACUUAAAUAGUACAAAGAAAUAACACAAUCACUCUCGCCAUACCUGCCCCUGACAAGAUGUAUGGCCGAAAUACUACGUUAUUAUUAUUAAUAUAUUAGAAAAGAACGAGUAUUCAUUCUCUGACGCAGCAAAGGUCGAGUUUCGUUAAAGGGAAAAAAUUUCAUCGUAGUCCCUUUAUCAUUUUCCACUGAGGACUAUGAGAACAGUUGUUAUUAUCCCCUCUGUUAAGAUAACAAUUGGGUAUAUUGUUGUUAUAGAUAAUUUCUAUAAUCGCUUAAUCUCCAAGCCUAGGUUCCCAUAUUUUCGUUGUUUUUCUUGCUCAGUUUUUUUUUUAAUUAUGAGACAGUGGUACGGCGACGUCAAUAAUGGUAGAGGUUUUUUCUUUUUUAUCGAUGAGCAGCAGGUCAGGGCAAUUACAAUCUACCCUUUUGUCGGUCAAAAUAGGCCUAUUCCAGUACAGUAGAUGAUCAGAAGACUCUAGCACGUCAUGUGAUCCAAGUACACUGCACUUGUGUAUUAGCUGUUGGCGUUGGAAUUGGAGUGGAUGCCGCUGUUGCUCUGGUGCUCUAUAUUUGGAUAGUUGUUUACAAGAGACCAAUCAAAAAUCUAAUGAUGGUAUUUAAAACGUCACAAGUCAAAAGGGACAUGUUCUACGUCAAAAUGAAUUAUGCACACCAAGAGUUGCGAUAACAUGGAAGCCAAAACGAGGAAAGCGCAAACAGGGACGUCCCCGUAUUACCUUCAUGGAGGACCUCAGAACAGUGGACACCAGGUGGGAGGAGGCUUCAGACAUUGCCAGUGACAGAUCAUUAUGGAGACAGCUUGCCGCCCAAUGCGCCGAACGGUGCGGGAGAACCUAAGUCUAAUCCUCCCUCAGGUGUCUGCCUAUUUGCUAUUUGCUGUUUAGUGUCUACUCGACACUACUCAACUAUUUGCUAUCGAGAAUCACCUAUUGCCUAUGUGCUUAGUGCUAUUCAGCACUGCACUUGCCUAUUUAUAGGAUCACUUGUCUACUUGCUAUUGAGUAUCAUCUACUGUCUACGUGGAUCUACUCAACUCUACUACUUGGCGCUAUCGGCCUUGCCCGCCUAUUCGACAGUCCACCUGUCAACCUAUUAGGUGCGACGUCCCUAUAGACUCAGAUUUGUGUGAGACGUCAUAGCUACGCCUAACCCUCUGCAACUCACUGGACGUAUCCUGUCAACUACGCUGCCCACGGCAGAUCAGCUCUGCCCGCAGUAACCUUGUGCCCACGGUAGCCGGCCACCCGCCCUACUGUGCCCACUACAGAUAUCAGAACUUUGGAUUGAGACUCCACAAGAACUGAAUCACCGGCGUCCCUCUAUCCGUUAGAGCGCCACCUCCAGCUGGAGAACCUCAAGCCAGGACACAGCCAGCUGCGACAUCAACAGGACAACCAGCUAAGUCAGAAGAAAAAGUGACAUACUCUCUUAUUAAGUGCAAGAGUGAUGAUUAAACAUAGUAUUCACUAGAGAUAGAUGCAAACCC